GAGGAUGAUAAGCACCUGGUGGCAG
rnacentral:piRNA from 1 species